GAGCCAAAGCUUCCAAGUUGCGCUGC
rnacentral:piRNA from 1 species